UGAAGCGAAUAGGGACAAGGCUGGC
rnacentral:piRNA from 1 species